rnacentral:tRNA from 1 species
GCCCGUGUGGCUAAGUGGUAAGAGCGUGGGCCUAUGCCCCAAAGGGUCCCAGGUUCAGUUUCUGGUCAAGGGCA